UUCACUCAUGAAUUCUUUCCUGUGUGAAGCCAGGAAAUCUGUUGGGCUGGUUUUGGGGAUCACCUACAUCACUAUCACUUACUGUGAUCUUGGACAAAUGGAAUCUUUUCUUCCAUGCUUUAGCUUCCGCGUUUGUAAAGCGAGUAUGAUAAUACUACUUAAUUCAUAGGAUUAAAUAAUACUAUUUACUUGAUAAGAUUAAAAUAGCUUCCUCAUAAGCAGACCCCGGAAAACACCGUCAUCAGAUUAUUCUGCUAAGAAAUUUAAACCAAGGAAAUGGAGCACAAACCCUAAAGACUCAGUGUGUUUCCGUGUUUGACCUCCAGAGGGCAAUGUUUCAUAGACUGGAAAUGUCUCUGCUAAGAAGAGUUCUGUCUUUCCUGAGCGGCUUUAUCUGACAGCUCACUGAGGUGCACAUUCUGAGUAGGAUCAACACCAGAGGGGUUGUUGUCAAGACAGCAGCUCUUACUAGUGGUCUCUAGGCCUUACUAAACAGGAAACUCUUGAAUCCUAGAUUUUCCCCAUUAUAAGGACUCACCAUCCUCUGGCACAUUCCUUCCAGAGAUCUUCUAGAAUAGAGCUCUCAGCCUCCUCACUGCCUAGCCAUGCUCUUAGUGGUCAUUCUACUGCUUGGAAUGUUCUUCACACUGAGAGGAACCAGAGCCCAGUCGGUGACCCAGCUUGAUGGCCACAUCAUUGUCUCUGAAAGAGACCCUCUGGAACUGAAGUGCAACUAUUCCUAUAGUGGAAUUCCUUCUCUCUUCUGGUAUGUCCAAUACCCCAGCCAAAGCCUUGAGCUUCUCCUCAAGGACCUAUCAGGGGCCACCCAGGUUAAAGGCAUCAAAGGUUUUGAGGCUGAAUUUAAGAAGAGCGAAACCUCCUUCUACCUGAGGAAGCCAUCAGCCCAUGUAAGCGAUGCUGCUGAGUACUUAUGUGCUGUGAGUGACACAGUGCCUGGGACUACAGCAGGAGCUGAACACAAACUUCCUGAGACACUGAGGUCUUCAGCAACUCAAGGGCACAACCUGACCUGUUUGUAGCAAGCUCUCUUUUGAUGAAAGUGAGAAAGGUGGAAGAACAAGCCAUGAGGAGUGCUUGACUCCAGGAAGAAACAGAGACUUCAACACGUUCCUUCUUUUAC